rnacentral:lncRNA from 1 species
UCUAGGUUUAGAUCUUGAUACAUACACCCUUCUGAUCCAUGGUCUUUGUAGGGUCGGUGAAACUGACUGGGCUUAUCGACUGUAUGAUCAGAUGGUAGGUAGUGAAAUCGUACCUAGGCGUAAAACAUGUGAAUUGCUUUUGAGUGAAACACAAAGACAAAACAUGGAGGCGUAUGUGGAAAGAAUCAGGAAUGAUACAAUUUCCUUUGGUCUUUGUCCAUAACUUUGAGAGAAUUACCCUCUUCUAUGUGAUUGAUUUGUUAAUUGCUAGUGACCAGUUAAUACUACUGAACAAUCUGUAACUUAGCAUAGACUAGAAGUCAGGAAGCAUCUUCAGACAACAGAAGAUUGCCCAUCGUCUACUGUUUUACUGCAAGAAUAAGUUGCAAGAUUAUCUUAUACUUUUAUCAGCAUAUUAUAGCAAGAUUGAAAUCAUCAUUUGACUUCAGAAUUUCAGUUGAUAAUCCUUGUACAAAGACAUGGUGCACAUGCUAUGCUAUUACAAUUGGCAUUGGCUUUUUAAUGGAUAGUAGUGAGCUGGAUUUAAUUGUGACACCUAGUUGUAUUGUGUCGUCAUAUUAUGUAAUAUGAUAUUAAUGUUGUACAUACCUGUAUAUCAUGUCAAACUGUGCAGGCACAAAAAUAUUUUCUGCAUUGUACAUGUUGAUUCACUUCUUGUGUAUUCGAGAAAACAAUAUGCUUGCUGUUUAAAUUGGAGAAUUCAUAAGUCUGGUUCAAAUAGAAGCCUACUG